rnacentral:rRNA from 1 species
GUCCACGCCCUAACGAUGGAUACUAAGCAGGGACCCUGCAAGGGGUUCCUUGCCGGAGCGAAAGCGUUAAGUAUCCCGCCUGGGAGUAUGGUCGCAAGGCUGAAACUCAAAGGAAUUGACGGGGCUCACACAAGCGGUGGAGCAUGUUGCUUAAUUCGAUGCAACGCGAAGAACCUUACCCGGGCUCGAAGUGUACGGAUUAGCUCUAUGAAAGUAGAGUGACACCCUAACCGGUGGAACGUAUAAAGGUGUUGCAUGGCUGUCGU